AGCUGGCGGCGUGCCUAAUACAUGCAAGUCGAGCGGACAGAAGGGAGCUUGCUCCCGGAUGUUAGCGGCGGACGGGUGAGUAACACGUGGGUAACCUGCCUGUAAGACUGGGAUAACUCCGGGAAACCGGAGCUAAUACCGGAUAGUUCCUUGAACCGCAUGGUUCAAGGAUGAAAGACGGUUUCGGCUGUCACUUACAGAUGGACCCGCGGCGCAUUAGCUAGUUGGUGGGGUAAUGGCUCACCAAGGCGACGAUGCGUAGCCGACCUGAGAGGGUGAUCGGCCACACUGGGACUGAGACACGGCCCAGACUCCUACGGGAGGCAGCAGUAGGGAAUCUUCCGCAAUGGACGAAAGUCUGACGGAGCAACGCCGCGUGAGUGAUGAAGGUUUUCGGAUCGUAAAGCUCUGUUGUUAGGGAAGAACAAGUGCGAGAGUAACUGCUCGCACCUUGACGGUACCUAACCAGAAAGCCACGGCUAACUACGUGCCAGCAGCCGCGGUAAUACGUAGGUGGCAAGCGUUGUCCGGAAUUAUUGGGCGUAAAGGGCUCGCAGGCGGUUUCUUAAGUCUGAUGUGAAAGCCCCCGGCUCAACCGGGGAGGGUCAUUGGAAACUGGGAAACUUGAGUGCAGAAGAGGAGAGUGGAAUUCCACGUGUAGCGGUGAAAUGCGUAGARGAUGUGGAGGAACACCAGUGGCGAAGGCGACUCUCUGGUCUGUAACUGACGCUGAGGAGCGAAAGCGUGGGGAGCGAACAGGAUUAGAUACCUGGUAGUCACGCCGUAAACGAUGAGUGCUAAGUGUUAGGGGGUUUCCGCCCCUUAGUGCUGCAGCUAACGCAUUAAGCACUCCGCCUGGGGAGUACGGUCGCAAGACUGAAACUCAAAGGAAUUGACGGGGGCCCGCACAAGCGGUGGAGCAUGUGGUUUAAUUCKAAGCAACGCGAAGAACCUUACCAGGUCUUGACAUCCUCUGACAACCCUAGAGAUAGGGCUUUCCCUUCGGGGACAGAGUGACAGGUGGUGCAUGGUUGUCGUCAGCUCGUGUCGUGAGAUGUUGGGUUAAGUCCCGCAACGAGCGCAACCCUUGAUCUUAGUUGCCAGCAUUYAGUUGGGCACUCUAAGGUGACUGCCGGUGACAAACCGGAGGAAGGUGGGGAUGACGUCAAAUCAUCAUGCCCCUUAUGACCUGGGCUACACACGUGCUACAAUGGACAGAACAAAGGGCUGCAAGACCGCAAGGUUUAGCCAAUCCCAUAAAUCUGUUCUCAGUUCGGAUCGCAGUCUGCAACUCGACUGCGUGAAGCUGGAAUCGCUAGUAAUCGCGGAUCAGCAUGCCGCGGUGAAUACGUUCCCGGGCCUUGUACACACCGCCCGUCACACCACGAGAGUUUGCAACACCCGAAGUCGGUGAGGUAACCUUUAUGGAGCCAGCCGCCGAAGGUGGGGCAGA
rnacentral:rRNA from 1 species